GACGAACGCUGGCGGCGUGCUUAACACAUGCAAGUCGAACGGAAAGGCCCUGCUUUUGUGGGGUGCUCGAGUGGCGAACGGGUGAGUAACACGUGAGUAACCUGCCCUUGACUUUGGGAUAACUUCAGGAAACUGGGGCUAAUACCGGAUAGGAGCUCCUGCUGCAUGGUGGGGGUUGGAAAGUUUCGGCGGUUGGGGAUGGACUCGCGGCUUAUCAGCUUGUUGGUGGGGUAGUGGCUUACCAAGGCUUUGACGGGUAGCCGGCCUGAGAGGGUGACCGGCCACAUGGGGCCUGAGAUAGGGCCCAGACUCCUACGGGAGGCAGCAGUGGGGAAUAUUGCACAAUGGGCGGAAGCCUGAUGCGGCAGCGCCGCGUGCGGGAUGACGGCCUUCGGGUUGUAAACCGCUUUCGCCUGUGACGAAGCGUGAGUGACGGUAAUGGGUAAAGAAGCACCGGCUAACUACGUG
rnacentral:rRNA from 1 species